GAACUUCUGACCAGUUCUUUCCUAGACAGGAUUGUAUUCAGAAAGUAGCAGUGGCCCAGAAAGCUGCAUUUCUUGAAACUCUGGAUUGAAUCUGGAGAAUUCCGAGGUAAACAGCAUGCUGUUGGAAGAGUAACAUCCUGGCGAGUACACCAAGCAGUUUGAUAGGCAGACUUUAGGAACAGGCAUGGAAAAUCUCAGAAAAAGUUCCAGCUGGACGGGACAUAGAGAUUACCUUGUCUAACCACCUCAUUUCACAGUUCUUAGCCUUCUGUUUCCAGUGGAAGACCUUCAACCAAGUCUUUGACUUCAAUGCUAGCUCUACCAGGUCUAGCUCAGUUAUCACCUCUAGCAACUGGACGAGACUAGAGGAUGUGGACCUUUGUUUGGAAGUUUCUGAAGCAUGCCCACUCCUCCUCCACCCACCACAGGAGUGCAGGCAUGCCCAUGUGCUGUGAGGACACCAGAUGAUUGACUGAAGCUUAGGAAUGCAGACUCCUUCCAGAGAAGCUGGUCUUCUAGCUAGACAGAUCAGUUUCACAUUCCUCUUCCAGACUCUGUUGGUACCUUCAAGAGACAGACCAGCAUAUAACACAACAGAUCUGUUGUAAGGGGAGAAAAAAACUGUACCCAUGUGCCCCUUCUCCCUUCCCCAGAGAAGAAGUAAUGGCAACUUGGGGCAGAACUACAAAGCAAUAGUAGACAUUUGUUUACAUGUAGCUUAAGGGAGACAGCUUAGUAUAGUGGAUAAAGUACUGGACCUGGAGUCAGGAAUACUUGAGUUUGAAUCUUGCCUCAAACAUGUGACAAUGGGUAGGUCAUUUAACCCCUCUUAGUCUCAAUGAUCUCAUCUGUAGAAAGGGGAUAAUAAUAACACCUACCUCAUAAGAUUGUUGUGAGGAUAGAAUGAAAUAUUGUAUACAAAGUGUCCUACACAUUUUAAAAUGCCACGUAAAUGCUAGCUUUUAUUCAAAGUGAUCCUGUGGGCUGACUUUCCCAGCUCACAAGAUAGUAGAAUCCAGGGAACUUACGAAUAGUGUCAGACAUGUUUGUUCACUUUGUCUGAAAGGAUAGUUCAUGGAC
rnacentral:lncRNA from 1 species